UAGAGGCACUCAUUUUGGAUUUACCAUCCAGGUAGAGACAUGUUACACGCUAAAGACAUUACCUUUAGAGCAAAACAACUCAGAAUUCACGACGACGAGGCCAUGGAACUUAUAAAAUAAUAUCAUUUCCAAGCGCUUAAUGCACAGACCGGCACAAAGGGUAUAAAACCACAAGAAUCCAGAUAUCAUCCAUUCUCAUCGGCUACAACAUUAAGGUGAAUGUAGAUACGGAGAAUUUGGCAGUACGUCCAACCGGGUCUCACAACCUCAGACCACGUGUAACCAUUUCCAGCCCAGGACCUCCACAUCCGGCUUCUUCACCUGCGGGAUCAUCUGAGACCCCCCCACCCUGACAGCUGAUGAAACUGUGGGUUUGCACAACUGAAGAACUUCUGCACAAACGGUCAGAAACCGUCUCAGGGAAGCUCAUCUGCAUACUCGUCAUUCUCACCAGGGUCUUAACCAGACUGCAGUUUGGCGUUGUAACCGGCUUCAGUGGGUAAAUGCUCACCUCCGAUAGCAUGCUGGAGAUGUGUGCUCUUCACGGAAUAAAUCCCAGGCUCAACUGGCAGACAGAGUGUAUGGUGUUGUAUGGGUGAGCAGUUUGCUGAUGUCAAUGUUGUGAACAGAGUUCCCCAUGGUGCCGGUGGGGUUAUGGAAUGGGCAAGCAUAAGCUAUUGACAAGGAACACAAUUGUAUUUUAUUGGUGGCAAUUUGAAUGCACAGAGCUACUGUGACGAGAUCCUGUACUCUACAAAUGAAGGAUUCAACAAGGGUUCUUCUAAGAUCCUCAAAGUUCUUUGAAUAACCUAUUUCCAGUACUUGGCACAGAAAAUAGCCCCCCAAAAGGUUAUUCCAAGACCACCAUGGGAGGUGGGGCUCAUCGAGGAAUCUCUUUAGUUGGUGGGGUUUCUUGCAAGAACCUAACUGCCCAACUGAAACAUUUGGAUUUGAAUUUGAAAGGACAGCAGGUGCAGGCAAUUAACCGAAAAAAUGUAAAGAUCCCCUCAAUUAAAGGUUAAUAAAGUUAACAUGGACACGUACCACGCUGCAUUUUGGUCCGAUCCUUCAUACUCCUCAUCAGACGAGGACGAGAAUCGUUACAGAUACGGAGAACACUAACACCAACACGCCAGAGGAUAUACCCAUUAUACUUGGGGCUCUGCUGGGAGUUUCUCAUAUUUGGAUGUUUUAAUUCUGCUUUGCCACUAAAAUCAUAAUAAACACUGACAACUAAAA